CCCUACGCACGUGGACCCUGGCCUUCAUUUUCAAAGCUUUUCCCACAUGCUAGUCUAGACUAGUCUGAGUUAGCACAACAAAGCCAUCCUCUCAUUUUACAGCUCAACGCUGGCCUGAGCAUCAUGGCAGGAGAGGAAAGCCUGUCACAAAGCACAGCUAAUAAAACGUUUUGGGGUGCCCAUCUAUUUGACGCUCUAUAAAAAUGUUUUUUAUUUGUGUUUUCUGUCUUUCAGACAUUUUGUAGCUCUUUGAAACUCCCAGCUCUAUAAAUCCAGUGUUUUCCCAGCUCUGGACGGCAAAGGUCAGGAACCACAUAUAAUGGAGGGGUGCUGCCGGUACUGAUCUGCGGUGGCCUGAAGCGAGGCAUAUGUCUCCUAACAGCAGACGACAGAUACAGAGAUAAAGCCAUACAGAUUUGGAACAACAUGACACAAAAUCUGAAAUGGUUGGACCUCAAUGUAUCCAGCCCUGUUUUGCUCUCCAAUGCUGAUAACGAAUUGAAGAAUUUGGCAUCAGUCAGCUGGGGUGCAAGAUGGACCUGUCAUGGCCGCCGUGAGCUAUAAUAACACACUGGGCUGGCAGAUGCUCCUUCAUUCAUGGUGUCCAGCUCCAUCUGCCCUUGUUUGAUGAGGCCAGUUAAACGGUGGGAGAGGAAAUGGAAAUUUGGGACAAAGCCCCCUGUUUUUCCAGGGGGACUAAUAUGUUGUAUGUAAACAUC